ACGGAAGGGGCUAGCGUUGUUCGGAUUUACUGGGCGUAAAGCGCAUGUAGGCGGCGGAUCAAGUGGGGCGUGAAAGGCCUGGGCUCAACCUGGGAACUGCGCUUCAGACUGGUUUGCUCGAGUUCGGGAGGGGGUGGUGGAAUUCCCAGUGUAGAGGUGAAAUUCGUAGAUAUUGGGAGGAACACCGGUGGCGAAGGCGGCCACCUGGCCCGAGACUGACGCUCAAGUGCGAAAGCGUGGGGAGCAAACAG
rnacentral:rRNA from 1 species